AGCGGAUCCGACACGCUGGCGCGUUGCGUGCCCCUCUACCGUCCCCCUUCUACUUUUUCCGGGGGGAGCAGCCUCUUCUCCACAUGACAUUGCCCUUAGCUGCACGACAGCACUUCUUGGAGCACGGCUACGCCAUUGUUCCGAAUGUGCUCUCGAGCUCCAUGGUGGAGCGCAUUCGGUCUGCAGCCUUGGCCUCCACAACGGCGCGCUCCCGCUCCUUCGCGCACCUGCCCAAUGUCCACUCCCUCUUGAAGUCUACGCCCAAGUGCACAGACCCACUUCAGGAUGGCCCGAUGUCGCAUCUGCAGAAGCGGCGGUACAUCUUACGCUACUACCGCGACAUAAGGAGGCAUAAGCGGCGGCUGCGGCGCGCUGCGAAGGCUUUCCUUAACGGCCGCGAUGUCUCGGAGCUCGGCAGAGAGGAUAUGUUGCAGUUGAGCGAGAUGGUCUCCGCGGAGACGCAGAAGGUGUGGAGCCGAGGCUGUACGAGCACAGUCAAGACGGACCCGCAGAUGCUCAUGGCGAUAAACCAGUACCGCGCCAAUGCGUGGAUGACAAACGCACAGCUGGAGGCGGUACUGCGAGACAAUGAGGAGUUCGUGAAGCCGCUCUCGCAGCUGGCAGAGGUGGUGGGCGGUGUGGCACGGCCCGUCAUUUUUGGUGAUGUGCCCCUGCUGCGCGAGGCGUACGGCAACCCUGUUGGGUACCAUUGCCUUGCCCCGACGAUUGGCACCCGCACGAAUGCACGCGUCAGCAAGGGCGGUGGUGAGGCGACAGCGGUGUCGAUGGUUCUCUUCACCUACACCCCUACUCCUCUAUGUCUUCCGCCCUUCGUGAUGCGCAACUCACAGCACGCGGUGCGCCGCCAGUACCUGCACUCGGUGCGUGCCGAGCGAUUGUGGCGUCCCUUUGCCCCCAUGGAGGCCGACGUACGCGAUCAACUGCGCCGCUUUCAAUUUGAUGCAUCUGUGGUAGGCCAACCGCUCCUCGCAGCAAUGGCCGGGCCGAGCAGUGCCCCCGCUGCUCCCGUAAUCGGUCCGGGAACCGUCAUGGUGGUCGACCCGCACUUGAUGAUGGCGUUCGGUGGCAACAUGACACCCCAAAGCGAAGUCCUUUAUCGCAUCAACGUGGUUGCGGAGAACGCGCGACCGCAUCUGAUGGCGCCGUCGUGGAUUCGCGGGUGGCGCACGAUGCCAGAAGAGGUUCAUUUUGCGUCUCCUGUCGUCUUUCCGCCGCUCUACGUCGAGUGACGCUCUCAAGGGUGAGCGGAUGGAAAGCACCAGAGUCGAAAGGGCGAGAGGCGCUCUGCGCCGUGUAUCCGCGGCAGUGGCGGUCGGGUAGCUUUGAAAUGCGCUGUGCUUGUGUGCAGUCGAGCGAUUGCCCAGGCCAGUCGCAUAGUCACACAGAUAACCUCGUCGUUUUUUUUUUCCUGUUCGUGACUGACUGUACUGCUUCUUUUCUAACGAGCGGCAGGUGGGCAGUCUCAUGGCUGUUCCCUCCUCGACGUGAUCGCUAGAGAGCUGGUUGGGUGGAGCAUUCUGGCGCCUGUCUUUUCGUGAAACCAUGAAGUGACUACAAAAGAGGGAUCUGUUUCUAAAGAAGGGGCGAUUCUAGAAACCGGUGCCCUGCGCCGUGCGUGAAUACGCAUCUUUCUUCAGUCGCAUCCUGCAUACGGUGCGCUAGCCGUUCUGUUUUUUUUUUUUCUUUCACGACUCUGCAGCGGUAGGUCACUUUAGGCGAUCGUCAAAUGCGGGUGGAUGGCUUGCAUGUUUUCCCUCCGCCCCUUCGUGUUGUAGCGCGCUCCGUCGUUGUCCUGUUCCUCUUUUCUUCUGCUAUCCCCGUAGCUCUCCUCUUGACUGUUUUUCGUCAAUUCGAUCACAAAACACAUCCGCACAUCACGCAUCGCAUACACACGCCAUGAG
rnacentral:misc_RNA from 1 species